CCACCUAAUACAUUAGCAUGGGAUAAUGGAAUAGGACCCUGUCCUCCUAUUUUCAGUUGGUUUUGGCAGCGCGAGGACUAGGGUAAUGAUUAAUAGGGAUAGUUGGGGGCAUUAAUAUUUAAUUGUCAGAGGUGAAAUUCUUGGAUUUAUGAAAGAUUAACUUCUGCGAAAGCAUCUGCCAAGGAUGUUUUCAUUAAUCAAGAACGAAAGUUAGGGGAUCGAAGACGAUCAGAUACCGUCGUAGUCUUAACCAUAAACGAUGCCGACCAGCGAUUAGGAGACGUUGAAUACAAAACACCACCAUCGGUGCGGUCGUCCUUGGCGUCGGUCUUUCGGGGCCGGCGCGGGGACGGCUUAGCCCGGUGGCACCGGUGAAUGACUCCCCUAGCAGCUUGU
rnacentral:rRNA from 1 species